UGCCAAGUCAGCCUUUUUCCAAUUGAAGUGAUGGGGGCAAACAAAGUACUGUGACGUGUACACCUGCAGCUUACUGAAGGAAAUGAGAGAUGACUGCUGAGAACUCCCCGCACCCUCUGACCUCGGCUUCCGACUUCACCAGAAAAUGGAGGAGUUUGAGAAACCAGCCCGCAGCUUCUGCCCAUAUCAAGCUACAUGUGUCUACAUCAGCUGCACCAUCCCUGUGGAUCAUGUGAGUUAUCAUUGAGCUAACAAGACUUGAUGAACUCCAUACGCUGCUUUUAAGCCCAUCUUUGGGGUAGAGCUCUGGUGCUGAUGAAAGUCAGGGGUGGUGGCAGUGGAAUAUUACAGUGCACUUCUUUAAGUGGCAGAGUAAGAGGAAUGACCUCUCAUAAAAUCCUAAUUAAGGUAAUGUGUGAAUGAGCAGUGGAGCCUUGUGGAUGCUGAUGGUGAUAAAUGUCCGUCCCCCCAAAGCCACACUGAAGGUGAAAGUGGCUCUGGAGUUCAGGUAGCCCACUGUGCCUUAUUACACUUGAGACACUAAGGAGGACACCGAGUCGAUGCUUCUUGUGAGGAAAGAAAACAGCAUUGAGCCACCAAAUCUGUUUACUUUGCAGCCGGUGUUUUUCUGUGGAGACAUAGCAGCGCCAAUCAUCUGAUGAGAUUCAGGGGCAUAUACUAAAGUAGUCACUUUGACAAUUCAUUCCCUGAAAGCCAAAAGUAAUGUUUCCAUUUUUGUCCAAGAAAGAAUAUCAGCUUUGACAUUUGAGCUGCAAUUCCCAUGGAACAGCUUGUCUCUUGGCAUCAAGGGCAUGAAAAUGAGUGACUUUCAAAGAUGGCUGUGCUUUAAUUUGACAAUUCUAAAUGUGCCUCAAUGCAAGAGCCAGAAUCAAGACGGUGUCUGGUUCCAUCACGUUUGUUCUCUUUCACACUCAUCCAGGAGAGGCCUGCUUUGUGCUUUGUUCAUGAUACUGACUCUGGGGCUUUCGUGAUUCAUUACAAAGCUGAGAUUUACGGCUAGCUUAUUGAAGAUUCUGUGAGGAACUUUCAAUUGUCACCCUUGGUUUUUUCCUUUUCUGUCAAAUCUUUUGGUCACUGUGAAUUUAUUCAGCAGAAAAUGUAAGCACCGCAAAAUAAAUACGGUGAAACUUCAA